ACGGUUACCUUGUUACGACUUCACCCCAGUUACCGGCUCCACCUUCGGCAGCUCCUUCCUUUCGGUUAGGUCACUGACUUCGGGCAUUUCCGACUCCCAUGGUGUGACGGGCGGUGUGUACAAGACCCGGGAACGUAUUCACCGCGACAUUCUGAUUCGCGAUUACUAGCGAUUCCAGCUUCAUGUAGUCGAGUUGCAGACUACAAUCCGAACUGGGACGUUAUUUUUGGGAUUUGCUUGGCGUCACCGUCUCGCUUCCCUUUGUUUACGCCAUUGUAGCACGUGUGUAGCCCUGAUCAUAAGGGGCAUGAUGAUUUGACGUCAUCCCCGCCUUCCUCCCGGUUAUCCCGGGCAGUCUCUCCAGAGUGCCCAGCUCUACCUGCUGGCUACUGGAAAUAGGGGUUGCGCUCGUUGCGGGACUUAACCCAACAUCU
rnacentral:rRNA from 1 species